rnacentral:rRNA from 1 species
AACGAACGCUGGCGGCAGGCCUAACACAUGCAAGUCGAACGCCCCGCAAGGGGAGAGGCAGACGGGUGAGUCACACGUGGGCAUCUACCCAUCCCUACGGAACAACUCCGGGAAACCGGAGCUAAUACCGUAUCUGCCCUUUUUGGCAAAGAUUUAUGGAGGAUGGAUGAGCCCGCGUCGGAUUAGCUAUUUUGUGGGGUAAAGGCCUACCAAGACGACGAGCCGUAGCCGGUCUGAGAGGAUGCUCAGCCACACUGGGACUGAGACACGGCCCAGACUCCUACGGGAGGCAGCAGUGGGGAAUAUUGGACAAUGGGCGCAAGCCUGAUCCAGCCAUGCCGCGUGAGUGAUGAAGGCCUUAGGGUUGUAAAGCUCUUUCGCCAGGGACGAUAAUGACGGUACCUGGAUAAGAAGCCCCGGCUAACUUCGUGCCAGCCGCCGCCGUAA